AAUCAACGCUGGCGGCGUGCCUUAGACAUGCAAGUCGAACGAUUAAGACUUCCUUCGGGAGGUGCAUAAAGUGGCGCACGGGUGAGUAACACGUAAGUAAUCUACCCUCGAGUGGGGAAUAACGUUCGGAAACGAACGCUAAUACCGCAUAACGCAGCGGCACCGCAAGGUGACAGUUGUUAAAGGAGCAAUCCGCUUGAGGAGGAGCUUGCGGCAGAUUAGCUAGUUGGUAAGGUAAUGGCUUACCAAGGCUACGAUCUGUAUCCGGUCUAAGAGGACGGUCGGACACACUGACACUGAAUAACGGGUCGGACUCCUACGGGAGGCAGCAGUCGGGAAUUUUGGGCAAUGGGCGAAAGCCUGACCCAGCAACGCCGCGUGAAGGAUGAAGUAUUUCGGUAUGUAAACUUCGAAAGAAUGGGAAGAAUAAAUGACGGUACCAUUUAUAAGCUCCGGCUAACUACGUGCCAGCAGCCGCGGUAAGAC
rnacentral:rRNA from 1 species